ACAUUUUGACAAAUUUGCACCCUUGAAAGUAUGCAGAAUUAGAAGAACAGAAGUAAAUCAAAUUGGAAAAAGUAAUUCUGAAAACUUGGAAAAUAAAGUAGAGAAAUAUUUUGGUAACACUUUAAAUUAAGGUACAUGUAUUCAACAUUAAUUAGUUGCUUAUUAGCACGCAAGCUAGUAUGAUCAAGAUUUACCUCAAUACAAUAGAGCUCAAUGGAGUUUUGUUCGUGCUGUCAGUCGUGAAAAAUUAAAUUUAAAAGAUGUAUUUGUUCUUCCAGAAAAAUUAUCAAAUUAAGCUGAAUCAGAGGUAUUUAAAGUCUAACAUUGUUGCCUUUUUUUUUUACAUUUUGCCAAGUUUGCACCCUUGAAAGUAUGCAGAAUUAGAAGAACAGUAGUAAAACAAACUGGAAAAAGUAAUUCUGAAAACUUGGAAAAUAAAGUAGAGAAAUAUUUUGGUAACACUUUAAGAUCAACUCCACAUGAAGCACCAGGUCAAUAUGAGACCGUUUGUAAAUAUCUAGUUAUCUGUACGUUUAAGUUAUCUGUAUGUUUUACUGUGCAAAUGUGUGUUAAAGGGUUGCUUUACUCAAAUUACAAAACAUCUUUGGAAAAAAUGGAGCUCUGGUUUAUUUGCCUUUGAUGCCUUUACCUCAAUACAAUAGAGCUCAAUGGAGUUUUGUCUGUGCACUGAAAAAUUAAAUUUAAAAGAUGUAUUUGUUCUUCCAGAAAAAUAAUCAAAUUAAGCUGAAUCAGAGGUCUUCAAAGUCUAACAUUGUUGCCUUUUUUUUUUAACAUUUUGCCAAAUUUGCACCCUUAAAAGUUUGCAGAAUUAGCUUUUAGCAGCUCCUGUUUGCAGUUUUUCCUUAAAUAUAUACACAACUAUCACUGUAUCUCUUCGAUACAGAGAAAAACUUAAACAUAUGAUUAUUCUCAGGCAAGUUCAGGAGUUAUAAGGAGGAGGUUAUAAGCAAUUUGCUAUAAUUGCUAUAGAUUUGUGGACAUUUAUCCAUUAAAGACAUCAGAGAUAAUGAUAUCCUCGGAAAGUUUUAUUCACACUGGAUCUAAAAAUAUGCAUAUCGUGUGUUUGUAACAAAUAUUUUUGUUAUGUUUUGUUCUUUUUACACAAAUUGCGUUAAAAAGAGUACCAUAAUUGCCUUUCACCUUGUGCUUAAUGGAUAAUAAACAGACCUCAGGGUUUGUAGGGAUAAUUUGUUUUUGCUUCAACAUCCAUUUCCAAUGAAAACAUCUUAAACCUUGAGAAAUUAAGAGAAAAAAGCUCCCUGCAUGACUACAUAGAUGCAACUUAAGUUAAUUGAGAAAAUGUUUUUUGAUUUGUGUAAAACAAUCCUUUAAACUUCUGACAUCAUGUUAGAAAGAAUUUUACUGUACGUGAGGAAAGACUUUUGUUGCAGUGUAACUUUUAUGACAGAAAUGAAAGGAAAAAAAAAAAAUUUCUACUAAAACUGGAAAUGUCUGUAAUCUAUGUGCAACUUUUUAUAAAAUGAUAAACUUGAAUAAAUCCAAUAAAAUAAGG